AACGAACGCUGGCGGCAGGCUUAACACAUGCAAGUCGAGCGAAGACUUCGGGCUUAGCGGCGGACGGGUGAGUAACGCGUGGGAACAUACCUUUCUCUACGGAACAGUCCUGGGAAACUGGGUUUAAUACCGUAUACGCCCUUCGGGGGAAAGAUUUAUCGGGGAGAGAUUGGCCCGCGUUGGAUUAGGUAGUUGGUGAGGUA
rnacentral:rRNA from 1 species